rnacentral:lncRNA from 1 species
GGAGCCCCGGGGGGAGACGGGAGGGAGGAGGGGAGCAUGGCGGACGGAGAGCCCCUCGUCCCUGGCCGGCCCCCAGCGGGCUACUCUCCUGAGAGCCCACUGCGCCUGCUCAGUAACCCAGGGGGCUCCCCAUCACCUGGAGUUCCCCAACCGUUUGGAUGCCCCCUGGCACUCAGCCAGCUCCAGCCCCACCCGGUCAGUCACUGGGCUGUCUGCCCUGCACAGAGAGGCGGAGAAGACCCCAGGAGGGCUGCAGCCAGGGCCAAGCUUGAGGGGACGCGGGCACACCCAGAGAUGCACAUCCCAG